CACCGGCAGCUCGAGUGGUAGCCGCGUUUAUUGGGCCUAAAGCGUCCGUAGCCGGUCCGAUAAGUCUCUGGUGAAAGCCCACAGCUUAACUGUGGGAAUCGCUGGAGAUACUAUCGGACUUGAGGCCGGGAGAGGCUGGAGGUACUCCCAGGGUAGGGGUGAAAUCCUAUAAUCCUGGGAGGACCACCUGUGGCGAAGGCGUCCAGCUGGAACGGACCUGACGGUGAGGGACGAAAGCCAGGGGCGCGAA
rnacentral:rRNA from 1 species